rnacentral:rRNA from 1 species
GACGGAGGAUGCAAGCGUUAUCCGGAAUGAUUGGGCGUAAAGCGUCCGCAGGCGGCAGUUCAAGUCUGCUGUCAAAGACCGGGGCUUAACUUCGGAAAGGCAGUGGAAACUGAACAGCUAGAGUAUGGUAGGGGCAGAGGGAAUUCCUGGUGUAGCGGUGAAAUGCGUAGAUAUCAGGAAGAACAUCGGUGGCGAAGGCGCUCUGCUGGACCAUAACUGACACUCAGGGACGAAAGCUAGGGGAGCGAAUGGG